UGCCAGCCGCCGCGGUAAUACCGGCAGCUCGAGUGAUGGCCGAUUUUAUUGGGCCUAAAGCGUCCGUAGCCGGCCACACAAGUCCAUCGGGAAAUCCGCCAGACUAACAGGCGGGCGUCCGGUGGAACCUGUGUGGCUUGGGACCGGAAGACCCAACGGGUACGUCUUGGGUAGGCGUGAAAUCCUGUAAUCCUGGACGGACCACCGAUAGCGAAAGCACGUUGGGAAGACGGAUCCGACGGUGAGGGACGAAAGCCAGGGUCUCGAACCGGAUUAGAAACCCGUGUAGUCC
rnacentral:rRNA from 1 species